CAGCAGCCGCGGUAAUACGAAGGGGGCUAGCGUUGCUCGGAAUCACUGGGCGUAAAGGGUGCGUAGGCGGGUCUUUAAGUCAGGGGUGAAAUCCUGGAGCUCAACUCCAGAACUGCCUUCGAUACUGAAGAUCUUGAGUUCGGGAGAGGAGAGUGGAACUGCGAGUGUAGAGGUGAAAUUCGUAGAUAUUCGCAAGAACACCAGUGGCGAAGGCGGCUCACUGGCCCGAUACUGACGCUGAGGCACGAAAGCGUGGGGAGCAAACAGGAUUAGAUACCCGCGUAGUCCCUGUCUCUUAUAC
rnacentral:rRNA from 1 species